rnacentral:rRNA from 1 species
CAAGUCGAGCGAGGCGGCCCGCAAGGGUCAGUCGAGCGGCGAACGGGUGAGUAACGCGUGGAUUAUCUGCCCUGAGGUGGGGAACAACCAGGGGAAACUCUGGCUAAUACCGCAUGAUACCGUGAGGUCAAAGGGGGCUCGCAAGGGCUCUCGCCACAGGAGGAGUCCGCGUUCGAUUAGCUAGUUGGCAGGGUAAUGGCCUACCAAGGCGACGAUCGAUAGCCGGCCUGAGAGGGUGAUCGGCCACACUGGAACUGAGACACGGUCCAGACUCCUACGGGAGGCAGCAGUGGGGAAUUUUGCGCAAUGGGCUAACGCCUGACGCAGCAACGCCGCGUGGAGGAUGAAGGUCUUUGGAUUGUAAACUCCUGUCAGCGGGGAAAAAGCAACCGUACCUCAUACGUGCGGAAGUUGAUUGUACCCGCAGAGGAAGCCCCGGCUAACUCUGUGCCAGCAGCCGCGGUAAUACAGAGGGGGCAAGCGUUAUUCGGAAUUAUUGGGCGUAAAGGGCGCGUAGGCGGCUUGGCAAGUGGAAGGUGAAAUCCCUCGGCUUAACCGAGGAACUGCCCUCCAAACUGCUUUGCUUGAGGCCGGGAGAGGCGAGUGGAAUUCCCAGUGUAGCGGUGAAAUGCGUAGAUAUUGGGAGGAACACCAGUGGCGAAGGCGGCUCGCUGGACCGGUUCUGACGCUGAGGCGCGAAAGCGUGGGGAGCAAACGGGAUUAGAUACCCCGGUAGUCCACGCUGUAAACGAUGAGUGCUUGGUGUAGCGGGUAUCGACCCCUGCUGUGCCGAAGUCAACACAUUAAGCACUCCGCCUGGGGAGUACGGUCGCAAGGCUGAAACUCAAAGGAAUUGACGGGGGCCCGCACAAGCGGUGGAACAUGUGGUUUAAUUCGAACAACCCGAAGAACCUUACCUGGGUUU